rnacentral:tRNA from 1 species
GGGGUUGUGGCUCAGUGGUAAAGUGCUUGCCUAGUAUGCAUGAAGCACUGGGUUCAAUUCUCAGCACCACA